rnacentral:rRNA from 1 species
AGUUGGUCGAGCGAUUUGUUUGGUUAAUUCCGAUAACGAACGAGACUCCGGCAUGCUAACUAGUUAUGCGGCCCCGAGCGGUCGGUGUCCAACUUCUUAGAGGGAGGGACAAGUGGUGUUCAGCCUCACGGAUUGAGCAAUAACAGG